rnacentral:rRNA from 1 species
CGACCGGCGCACGGGUGAGUAACACGUAUGGAACCUGCCCUAUGCAGGGGGAUAAGCGGAAGAAAUUCCGUCUAAUACCGCAUAACACCUUUAGGAGACAUCUUCUUGGGGGUCAAAGGAGGCGACUCCGGCAUAGGAUGGCCAUGCGUCGCAUUAGCUAGUCGACGGGGUAACGGCCCACCGAGGCGACGAUGCGUAGGGGUUCUGAGAGGAAGGUCCCCCACACUGGUACUGAGACACGGACCAGACUCCUACGGAAGGCAGCAG